CCGGCGGAAUCGGACGUCCACUGUCCUCGGCAGAAUUAACCAGGUGUUAUCUUAUGCAAACUUUAUCGCCGUCAGAUGAAGAUGACCAUCCCGGCGAUGAGGAUGAGCGCGCUUCGGUGGAGGAGCAGACUUUUUUCCGUCUCCAAACGAGCGGAGAGGCACAGGGGCGAGACAAUAACGCCCAGAAGUUAUUGAAAUGAAUCGAGCUGACAUAAGAAGAAGAAACAAAAGGGGCGCUAGCAGCGUUAGCCUUGACCGCAGAGGGAAGCGCGGGAAGCAGAAGAGCAAACAAGGAAAACACAAGAGCGAUGAAAGAGAGGUCCAGACAUGAAGGAGGCACGCAUUCACACACGUACAACGGCACCUAGAGUCUGUCUGCGGUCUACACCACCCUGCCACACACACACAUAUACACACACACAAACACACACAUGCCUGUUACGGUAAGAAUCAGAGACCACCGAGUUAGGGGGACAAUAAUAGUGUGAAUGUGAGAAAAAAAACCUCAUUAUCCACUGCUAUUUUCUCCUCUGAGUAAUUUAAAGACAAAUUGACUACUUGGAUUCCAAAGUGCUCUAAAUUCAGUAAUUAAAUAAAUAAAAUAAGAAUAUAAAAUAAAUUAGCUAAAUUCAGUCAUUUAACUUCUGAAAAGUAGUUUCUCGGUGCUGGUAAAUAAACAAUGAAAAGAACGUCUUUCAAUCAAAUUCGGAUGUCUCAUUUUGAGCAAAUCUUAAUUUAUGCAGUUCCAUUUUAAUUUUAAUUGUGUGUGUCUGCUGUCAUGCAUGCCAUUUCUAGUGUGUCUGCAUGUGUGUGUGUGCACAAAGCCUGCUUCGUUUUUGUUUUUUUUUCUAUUUCCAUCAGUCGAAACCAAUCUCCACAACUCAAGUUUAACAGCUGCACCACAUAUCCCACAAACCCCCACGUCCACCCACCCCCCCCCACCCCCCCUACCCACCCUGUGCCCCUCCCAGGCUUCCCAGCAUCCUGCUUCGCCCUUCAUCAAAAAAAAAAAAAAGCCAUGCACGCGUGCUGAAAUUACAGUGUGUGAGGCAGCAUUGUGGGAAGCCCUUCCUUCCCUCUCCACCCGCUGUAUUUGCCCUUCUCGUCCCCUCCUUAUCUUUUUCUCAUUCCGCUCUGUUUCGGAUGGGAUCGGGCGGGGUUUAUUUUGAUGUUCAUUAAACUGUCAAAUGGCUGCCCGUACUUAAUUUGCAUCCGUAGUUAACAGUGACGAAAGUUCAGGCUGAGGUUAAUAAGGUAUUAAUGCACUUCUAAAUAAGAUUGGCCUCUUUGUAUAAUUGAUUAGGUUUUUAUUUUUGGGGCCUUUGCACAUUACAUUUAGGAUGAUAGUUUGUCCUUUUACGCUCAGGGAACCUCUGUGUUUAUGAACUGUUCUGAACAUUUGAACACAGUAGCUCAUAAGUGAACAACAAAUAUAAUUAGUUUGCGUUAACUUGUCUUGUAUGUGUCCUGAGUUAUGGGAGAAAAAAAUAAAAAAAAAACUGUACUACACUGACUUAAAAAGAGGAGGAGAGACGUUAACAUUUUGCCAUAUGCCAGUGUUGGAUUCAUCUGUUAAUAGGUGGCCUAAAUUUUCCUUAACCAUACAAAUCAGUGCUUAUGAGUUUGCCCACUGUUACUAAUGGAUAUAACAGAGCUAUAUCAUUUCCAUGCACAUACUUUAAGGUUUAAACCCCUCAUGUCUGGCAGGUCUUUCCCACGGAAAAUACUUCCCAAAGAGGCAGUUGUUUCUGUGUCAUACAAACAAGAUGACUUUGGUAGUUAUCAUAAGCAAUGGUUGCCAGAAAAGAUGAAACGGAGAUCUUUGAAAAGAGCAACACAAAAAUAUUACAGCAUAGCAGUACAGACAUGAGAAAAAAUAAAUAAAUAAAACAUAAAUAUAAGAACAACGCUGCUUGUACGGAAGCUACUUAAAUCAGAAAGCAGCCCCGUCCUCAUAGUUUCUAGCUCCAGGUUGACUGACGGCGCCGCCCUCACAGCAACUGUUACUAACCAGCUGUAAUGACACACUCCAUCAAUUCGGCUUUGCCUGCGCGAGGCUAGCUUGGUUAACAGUCGGCCGAGGUGCGGCAUGAGAGUGUGUGUGUGUGUGCUGGCUAUUAAAGCACUUGAGAAUCAGAGAGGAAAGGACUCGCACUGCUAAUGGAUGUGUCUAUUGAUGUUCCCAUUUAGCAGCACACUGUAAACGAUAGGGCAAUGAUUGUGUUGAAGACGGAAGGAGGUGGAGGAGGAGUGGAGAGCGGUUUGGCUGGGCGAUGAUAAUGACAAGGAAGGUUAUUAUUUGGCGCCCUGCGGAGUCUCUGCUUUGUGCGUGUGUGUGUGUGUGUGUGUGUGUGUGUGUAAGAGAGAGAGGCGCUCUUCCUCCAUCUCUCUCGCUCCUGUCGCUCUCCCAGCCUAUUGGCUAUUAUUCACUUCUCGCUUUUUCUCCCCAGUCUGCUCCUCUCUCACGACAUUACUCACUGCUGCUAGUCUACAUCCAAUUGUGGCUGUCUCUCUCACACAUUCACUCCUAUUUCUCUUUUCUCAAUGGCCUUCCCCUUUUUUUUAAAAAAAAAAAGCACAUAGUGCAGGUAUCUUUUGUGAUGGCAGAUAAAAUUGCAGAAAAAGAAGUCAAAGAUGGAAUAAUGCAGCAGAGGUGGCCAAAUAGUUUCUUGUUAUGAUUUUUUUUAGAAUAGCAGCUUGCCCUUGAAAUAU